rnacentral:rRNA from 1 species
CCUACGGGGGGCUGCAGUGGGGAAUAUUGGACAAUGGGGGCAACCCUGAUCCAGCCAUGCCGCGUGUGUGAAGAAGGCCCUCGGGUUGUAAAGCACUUUCAGUGAGGAAGAACGCCUGGUGGUUAAUACCCAUCAGGAAAGACAUCACUCACAGAAGAAGCACCGGCUAACUCCGUGCCAGCAGCCGCGGUAAUACGGAGGGUGCGAGCGUUAAUCGGAAUUACUGGGCGUAAAGCGCGCGUAGGUGGCUGGAUAAGCCGGUUGUGAAAGCCCCGGGCUCAACCUGGGAACGGCAUCCGGAACUGUCAAGCUAGAGUGCAGGAGAGGAAGGUAGAAUUCCCGGUGUAGCGGUGAAAUGCGUAGAGAUCGGGAGGAAUACCAGUGGCGAAGGCGGCCUUCUGGACUGACAAUGACACUGAGGUGCGAAAGCGUGGGUAGCAAACAGGAUUAGAUACCCUAGUAGUC